rnacentral:lncRNA from 1 species
CUGGAUAUCACAUUACAUUUUGUUUUCAUGUCUCUUUAGGUUCCUUGGCUUUGACAGUUUUUCAGACUUUCCUUAUUUUUGAUAAAAUUGAAAGCGUUCAUGAAUACUGGUCAGGAAUUUUGCUUUAUGUCUUACUAUUGAAAUUUUUCUGAUGUUUUUUCUCAUGGUUAGACUGGGCUUUCAGGUUUUUGAAAAGAAUACAGAGAUAAAGUACUAUUUUCAUCACAUCAAAGGUAAAUAAUAUCAAAGACUUAUCACUAUUGGUGGUAACAUUGAAAAACUGGUUGAGAUAGUAUUUUUCAGGUUUCUCCACUGUAGUUACCUUUUUCCCUUUUUUAGACUGUACUCUUUUGAAGAGUCAUUAUACACAGCCAACACUUAUUAGUGAGAACUUAUGCUCAGGAUAUCUGCAUAUAUAAUUUGAAAUCCUUCCACAUGUGAGUUUUUCUAUUCUACACCAUUUAUUUAUGUAUUCAAUCAGUUGUUUAUAUUAUUAUGGAGGCAGGGAUAUUUAUUUUAUUAUUUAGAUUACAAUCCAAUUCCACUUUGUUGUUGUUGUUGCUCAAAUUGUUUCAGCUUUGACUUUUUGGAACUCUAAGUUGAUUCCAUUUUUCUUUAGACAUACCCCAAAUAUUUGUGACUAUAGCCAUGUGGCUUCAUUUCUGGGUUCUUUAUUCUGUUCUAUUGAUCUAUGUGUCUGUUUGAAUACUAGUACCAUGCUGUUUUGGUUACUAUAGCUUUGUAGUAUAAUUUAAGGUCACGUAAUAUGAUGCCUCCAGCUUUGUUCUUAUUGCUGAGGAUUGCUUUGGCUAUUUGGGAUCUUUUUUAGUUCCAUGUGAAUUUUAGGGUUUCUUUUUCUAAUGAUGUGAAAAAUGACAUUGGUAUUUUGAUAGGAAUUUCAUUGUAUCUGUAGACUGCUUUGAGCUGUAUGGUCACUUUAAUGAUACUGAUUUUCUUCUGAUCCAUGUACAUAAAAUAUUUUUCCAUUUAUUUCUGUCACAUACAAUUUUUUUCAUCAUUGUUUUGUAGUUUCUUUGUAGAGAUCUUUUAUCUCCUUGGUUAAAUAUAUUCCUAUAUUUUUGAGUUUUUUAUCCUUGGUAAAUGGGAUUGACUUCUUGAUUUUGUUCUCAGCUUGAUCAUUACUGGUGUAUUGAAAUGCUAUUGAUUUUAUAUCCUGAAACUUUACUGAAUUUAUUUAUCAAAUCUAGGAGUCUUUUGGUGGAGUCUUAGGGUUUUCUUAUCAUAUCAUCAGCAAACAUGAUAAUUUGACUUCUUCAUCCCCAAUUUGGAUGCCUUUUCUUUUUACCUGAUUACUUUGGCUAGGGCUUCCAGUACUGUGCUGAAUGGGUGUGGUGAAAAAUGGGCAUUCUGGUCUUAUUCCAGUUCUUAUAAGUAAUGCUUUCAACUUUUCCCCAUUCAGUAUAAUGUUGCUUGUGAGUUUGUCAUAAAUGGUUUUUAUUAUUUUCAGGUAUGCUCCUUCUAUACCUAGUUUGUUAAGGGUUUUUAUCAUGAAGCCAUGCUGUAUUUUAUCAAAUGCUCAUUCUGCAUCUAUUGAGAUAAUCAUAUGGUUUGUGUUUUUUAUUCUGUUUACGUGGUGAAUGACAUUAAUUGAUUUGUGUAUGUUGGACCAUCCAUUCAUCCCUAGAAUAAAACCAAACCGAUUAUGGUAUAUUAUAUUUUUGAUGUAACGUUGAUUUCAGUUUGCUAGUAUUUUCUUGAGGAUUUCUGCAUGUAUGCUCAUCGGGAACUUUGGUCUGUAGCUUUCUUUUCUUCUUGUGUCCUUUUCUGGUUUGAGUAUCAUGUUGAUAUUGAAUUUAUGUAAUAAGUUACGGGGAAUUCCCUCCUUCUCAAUUUUUUCAGAACAGUUUCAGUAAGACUGGUACCAGUUUUUCGUACAUCUGGUAGAAUUCAGCUGUAAAUCGGUCUGUAGCCGAGCUUUGAUUAUUGAGGGAUUUUUCAUUAUUGAUUCAAUCUUGCUACUGGUUAUUGACCUGUUCAAGAUUUCUAUUUCUUCUUUGUUCACUUUUAGGAAGUUGUAUGUUUCCAACGAUUUAUCCAUUUCCUCUAGCUUUUCUAGUUUGUGAGUGUAGAGCUACUCAUAGUAGUCUCUGAUGAUGGUUUUUAUUUCUGUGGUAUCAGUUGUAAUGUCUCCUUUUUCAUUUCUCAUUGUGUUUACUUGAAUCGUCUAUCUUCUAGGUUUGUCUAUCCAGAAGUCUAUCAAUUUUGCUCAUCUUUUCAAAGAAGCUAUCUUUUGUCUCAUUAAUCGUUGUAUUUUUUGUCUCAAUUCCACUUAGUUCUUCUCUAAUCUUUGUUAUUUCUAUACUUAACCUAGCUUUUUGGUUUGUGCACUGUUAUUUUUCUGUUUUCCUAAGGUGUGAUGUUAGAUUGUUAAUUUGUGAUUUUUUCCAUUAUUUUGAUGUGGGCAUUUACCACUAUAAACUUCUCUCUUCACACUGCAUUUGCUGUAUCCAAGAGGUUUUGGUGUAUUUUGUCUCCCUUUUUUUUCAUUUCAAAAAUGUUUUAAUUUUUGUCUUAAUUAAAUCCUUUACCCAAAGAUCAUUCCAGAUAACCGUGUUUAUGUCCAUGGAAUUGGUCUCAAGUUUUAUUCCACUGUGGUUUCAGAAGAUGCUUGGUAUGAUUUCAAUAUUAAAAAUUUAUUGAAACUUGUUUUAUGGCCUAAUAUAUGGUCUAUUUUUGAAAAAUAUUCCAUGUGUUGAUGAGAAUAUAUAUUCUGUGGUUGUUGCAUAGAAUGUUCUGUAAAUGUCUGUUAGGUCCAUUUGAUAAUUGAGUUUAAUUUAAGUCCAGUGUUUGUUUCUUGAUUUUCUGUUGUGAUGAUCUGUCUAGUGUUGUCAGUAGGGUGUUGAAGUCUCUCACUGUUAUUGUUUUUCUGUAUUUCUUAGAUCUAGUCAUAUUUGUUUCACAAAUCUGACUGUUCCAGAGUCAGAUGUAUACAUAUUCAGGAUUGUUAUAGCUUCUUGUUGAAUUGAUCUUUUUAUCAAUAUAUAAUUGUUUAUCUUUUUUACUGUUUUUGACAUAAAGUCUGUUUUAUCUAAUCCAAGUAUAGCUAUUCUUGCUUGCUUUUGGUUUCCUUUUUCAUGGAAUAUCUUCUUCCAACCCCUCACCUUCAGUCUAUAAGUGUGUUCACCAGUAAGGUGAGUUUCUUGUAGGCAGCAUAUGGUUGGUUCUUUUCUUUUAUACAUUUUACCAAUCUAUACCUUUUAAUUGGAGCAUGUACUCUUUUUACAUUCAAGAUUACUAUGGCCAUCUGAGGUUUUGUACCUUUCAUAAUGCUAAUUGUCAUAUAGUUGCUUUGUAGAUUUUUUGUUUCUUUUUUUUUUUUUUUUUUUUUUUGCUGUUUAUCUUUGUGGUUUGGUGAAGUUCUUUUACGUUGCCAUUUCAUUUCUUUCUCUUCCUCGUUUAACUGUCUUAUAAGAUCUGUGAGUUUUAUAUUUCAUGUGUUUUUGUGAUGACUAGUAUUGACUUUUUGUUUCCAUGUUUAGAACUCCUUUGCACACUUCUUGUAGUACCAAUGACAAAUUCUCUCAUCGUUUUCUUGUUUGGUAAACACUUUACUUCUCCUUCAUUCAUGAGGUAUAUUCCAGCAGAAUACAAAAUUUAGAGUUGACAAUUUUGCUUUUUUUUUAAGCACUAUGAAAAUAGAAUCCCAAUCUCUUGUGGCUUGUAAAGUUUUUGUUGGGAAGUUCAUUGUUGGUCUGAUGGAGUUUUCUUUGUAGAUGGCUGGAUAUUGCUGAUUUUAGUUUUAGUUUUUUAGGUUUUUUUUUAAAUCUAGUUUGACCUUAGACAAUCUGAUGACUAUAUAUCAUGAUGAGGAUCUUCUUUCAAUGCAUUUUUCUGAAGUUGUUGAUCCUCUUGUAUCUGAAUGUCUAGAUCUCUUGUUAGAAUAGGGAAGUUUUCCACAAAUUGGUUUUUAAAAUUUUUUGUUUUUUCUUCCCCCUCAGAAAUAUUUAUGCUUCAUAGGUUCAGAUAUUUAAGAAGUCCUACACUUCUUGAAGGCUUCAUUCAUUUUUUAAACAUUAUUUUUCUUCAUCUUUAUGUGAUUGUAUUUUUGAAUUUUUGAUUGAAUUUUUGAAAACCUGUAUUCAAGUUCUGAGAUUCUUUCUCCUAUUGUUGAAGCUUUCAACUCGACUUUAUAAUUUCUUCAGUUAUUUUUUAUUUCCAUAAGUUUUAUUUUUUAAAAAAUAUCUACCUCAUGGGUAAAUUUCUAUCAUAGCCUAAACCAUAUCCUCAAUUGAUAUUCUGAUUUAUUUGUAUUGGUUUGCAUCUCACUGAGUUUCUUUAAAGUAAAUAUUUUAAAUUAUUUGUCUGCUAUUUCAAAAUUUUCAUUUUGGUUAGGAUCCAUUUCUAGAAAGUUAGAGUGAUUCUUGGUGGUGGUGUAACACCCAGUUUCUUCUCCAGAAUUGUUAUGCUGGUUUCUUCUCAUUUGGAAAAAUGUCACUUCUUAUUUUAUAAUUUAGUUUUAUUUAAAUGGGAUUUUUAUUUUCCCACCUUAAGGAUGUGACUAUAUUGUCUGUUGAAUAGGAUCAUUUGGCUUUGCUUCUGGGUGCUUUCACUGGCAAGUCCCUGUAUGAAUUCUUUGGUUAUAGAUAGCCUUAGUGGCUUUCUCAAACACCAGUUGUACUAGUAGUGUACUGAACAUGUGAACAGGCUCAUGGCCUCCUGUAGGGCAGGGUUGACAGAGGUCUUAAAAAGCUUAUUUCAUUUCUAAGAGCUGUGUACUUCUGGCAGCAGAUUUUGUAUUGGGUUGUGCAGUUCAACCUCCAGGCCAGUAGGUGGCACUUUCAGGUAAGAGUUGGCUGCAGCAGUUGGCAGUAGGGUUGAUGCUUGAUCUUUGUUUACCAGGAAAAGCUCUCCACAGCCUCAGGCAAUGGGUUGGCCCAUAAAAUGCAGAGUGUCCAGGGCUCUGUACUCAGCCCUGAGGUGUGGGAGUGAUGCUGGGUGGAGCUGGACUGGGCUGGCCUGCCUUAGGGUCCUGCAAUGGCAGGCACAAGCACCAUUUGUGAUACAGGUGGCAAGGAAGUUGUAUAGACUGUAUUAUUUUCUUGGAUACAGAUAGUCUUAUUGUGGUGGCUUUCCCAAAUGCCUGGUGUAGUCGUAACGUACCCUGUGGGGGAGCAGACUCAAGUCCCUCUGAGUAGACAGGGUGGUGUGAACAACGGAGGUGGCAGAGGUCAUGCAAAUCUCUUCUCUUUUUCAAAUGUUGUGCAAUUGUCUCAGCAGAUGUAAAAAACAAAACGGGCUUUGCAGGUUUGUCUCCUAGCCAGUAGGUGGCACUUGCAGGUGAGAGCCAACUGUGAUAAUGGCAGUUGGGCUUUUGCUUGACCUUUGUUAACCGGAAGUACUGAGAAGCUGCAGGCAAUAGGCUGCGCUGUGGGACUUCCAGGAGUCCGAGUCCCAUGCUCUGCCUCUGAGGCUGGUGGCUGGGGUAAAGCUGGGCAGGGCUGAGCCAGGCAGGGCUGUACUCAGGCUCCCCAAUGGUAGGUACAAGCAACGGCCAUAACAUGGAUCAGAAGGCAGUGCUCAGGCCACUGGGGCAAUGCUUCAAGGAGGAGCAUAACAACUUAUUUUGUGCCAAAGAGUCAGCAUGGGAAAAGAGAAGCAGUUUGUGUUCCACAACCUAGCAGAUGGUAGUGACACCUGCCUCACUCCCACACCCUUGACCCAGCAAGGCUCCCUCCCAUAACCCACUCCUGGCAGCAAGCUGAAACAGUAAGUCAAGACACAAGCAAUCUGUCUUCAGAUUACAAAACUGUCCUAUGCCACAAAACUCCCUGCCAGGGACAAAAACUUGGACUCCCAGGCCACACCCCUCCGACUCCAGUCCUGCAUCCUGCAGUGGGACUGCCCAACGCUUAUGCCCGUGUUUCAAACCCAUGCUACACUCAUCUCUCAGAUCUGGCCAUGGGGCUCUUCCUCCUCUUAAGACUAGAUUGCAAAUCUCAUUCUUGAGAUUCUCUAAACCGAUGACUAAUGCUUGUUCUGGAUGACAGAUUUCCGCACAGCCCCCUAUGAGUUAAGAUCAGGAAUGAUCUCCUAUUAGCAUCAAGGUCUGGGAGCAUGUGCAAAGUACUUCCUGCUGCCUCUUCUCACAGUCUCUUCACUGAUCCCAGAAUUGUAUCAGUUGGAAGAGUCAAGGAGCUCCUCUGUGGCCUGGAUUGCCUGACUCCCAAGUGGAAAUGUAUACUGUGAAGAUACUCUUCCCCUCUCAGGAACUUGGAACUCACAGUUUUCCGUCAGACCCACAGUGUGGUCUGCUGCCCACCAUAUUUUUCAAAGUAUCCAAAGUUUGUUUCAUUUUUAUGUUGAGCUUCCUAUUCUUUCCUUGAUCACAAUGUGAAUCUCUGCACACUAUUUUGCUAUUUCCAAGUGAAUGAGGUUCGCUAACAAAGCCUCUAUGCCUCCAUCUUGGAGAAAAAAAAGCUAAGUAUCGAUAUAUUUUGUUUUCAUUUUUAUUUACUUCAAAAUUUUAAAUUUUUACUGAGACUUCUAUUUUGACCUCUCACUUAUUUAGAAAUGUGUCAAUUUUCAGAUAUUUGGAGCUAUCUCAGUUAUCUACAUGUUACUGACUUCUAUUUGAACUUCAUUGUAGUAUGAGAACAUACUUUGUAUUAAUUCUAUUAUUUUAUAUUUUUAAGAUGUCUUUUAUGGCCCAAAUGUGGUCAACCUUGAAGAACGUUCCAUGUGAUCAUGAAAAAAAUAUAUAUAUAUUCUGCCAUUGUGGAUGUACUUUGCUAAACAUGUCAACUAGAUAAGUUAGUGAUAGAGAUGUUCAGUUUAAAUAUAUUUUCAUUUUCUGCUUGUUGCAUCUGUCAAUUACUAAUGGGUAAGUGCUGAAAUCUACAGGUAUAAUAGUGCCUCUGUUAGCCUAUUUCUCCUUCAGUUUUAUCAAUAUUACUGCAUGUAUUUUAAUGUUCUCUUGUAUGAGGCAUACACAUUUAGGAUUGUUAUGUCUUUUUGGAAAAUUAACCCUUUUAUCAUUAGAUAAAGCUCUGUAGCCCUAAUAAUCUCUAUCUUUCCUGAUGUCUGCUUUGUCUGAAAUUAAUGUAGCUCCUUUGCUUUCUUUUGAUUAGCACUUUGUGUGUUUAUCUUUUUACUUUUAACCCAGAUGUAUCUUUAUAUAUUUAAAAUGGGUUUCUUGUAAGUGACAUAUAGCUAGGUUUGGUUUUGUUAUCCUCUUCAACAAUUUCUAUCUUUAACUGGUAUAUUUAGAACAUUAACAUCUAAAGAGAUUAUUGAGUGAUAUAGUUGGAUAACUAUCUACUAUGUUUAUAACUGUAUUCUAUUUCUUGUAGUUUUUUCCUAGUUUAUUUUUUCCUUCCAAUUUUUCUGAAUUCUGUGAUUUUAACUGACCAUGUAUAAUAUUUAAUUUAUAUCAUAUAUUAGUGUAUUAAUUGUACUUCUUUUUUUAAAAAAAAAAAUGAUCACUGUAGAAUUUACCAAAUAAAAUGUAAGUUAAUCUGUCUUUACCUCAAACAACCC